GAUGAACGCUGGCGGCGUGCCUAAUACAUGCAAGUCGAGCGAACGGACGAGAAGCUUGCUUCUCUGAUGUUAGCGGCGGACGGGUGAGUAACACGUGGAUAACCUACCUAUAAGACUGGGAUAACUUCGGGAAACCGGAGCUAAUACCGGAUAAUAUUUUGAACCGCAUGGUUCAAAAGUAAAAGACGGUCUUGCUGUCACUUAUAGAUGGAUCCGCGCUGCAUUAGCUAGUUGGUAAGGUAACGGCUUACCAAGGCAACGAUGCAUAGCUGACCUGAGAGGGUGAUCGGCCACACUGGAACUGAGACACGGUCCAGACUCCUACGGGAGGCAGCAGUAGGGAAUCUUCCGCAAUGGGCGAAAGCCUGACGGAGCAACGCCGCGUGAGUGAUGAAGGUCUUCGGAUCGUAAAACUCUGUUAUUAGGGAAGAACAUAUGUGUAAGUAACUGUGCACAUCUUGACGGUACCUAAUCAGAAAGCCACGGCUAACUACGUG
rnacentral:rRNA from 1 species